rnacentral:rRNA from 1 species
CCAAUAGCGUAUAUUAAAGUUGUUGCAGUUAAAAAGCUCGUAGUUGAAUUUCGGGAUUAAUUUAUUGGUCGUGCUAUUGUACGUACUGGUAUUAUUGAUUCCUACCUUCUGACGAACCACGAUGUCAUUAAUUUGGUGUCAUGGGGAAUCAGGACUGUUACUUUGAAAAAAUUAGAGUGUUUAAAGCAGGCUCACGCUUGAAUACAUUAGCAUGGAAUAACGAAAUAGGACGUUUGAUUCUAUUUUGUUGGUUUCUAGGAUCGACGUAAUGAUUAAUAGGGAUAGUUGGGGGCAUUAGUAUUCAAUUGUCAGAGGUGAAAUUCUUGGAUUUAUUGAAGACUAACUACUGCGAAAGCAUUUGCCAAGGAUGUUUUCAUUAAUCAAGAACGAAAGUUAGGGGAUCGAAGACGAUCAGAUACCGUCGUAGUCUUAACCAUAAACUAUGCCGACUAGGGAUCGGAUGAUGUUAAUCUUUUAAUGACUCAUUCGGCGCCUUACG